CCUACGGGGGGCAGCAGUGAGGAAUAUUGGUCAAUGGACGAGAGUCUGAACCAGCCAAGUAGCGUGAAGGAUGACUGCCCUAUGGGUUGUAAACUUCUUUUAUAUGGGAAUAAAAUGUUCCACGUGUGGGAUUUUGUAUGUACCAUAUGAAUAAGGAUCGGCUAACUCCGUGCCAGCAGCCGCGGUAAUACGGAGGAUCCGAUCGUUAUCCAGAUUUAUUGGGUUUAAAGGGAGCGUAGGUGGAUUGCUAAGUCAGUUGUGAAAGUUUGCGGCUCAACCGUAAAAUUGCAGUUGAAACUGGCAGUCUUGAGUACAGUAGAGGUGGGCGGAAUUCGUGGUGUAGCGGUGAAAUGCUUAGAUAUCACGAAGAACUCCGAUUGCGAAGGCAGUUCACUGGACUGCAACUGACACUGAGGCUCGAAAGUGUGGGUAUCAAACAGGAUUAGAUACCCUUGUAGUC
rnacentral:rRNA from 1 species